rnacentral:lncRNA from 1 species
UAUAAAAUAUGUGUCAAAGAUAAAUUUGUAUAGAACAAUAAAUUAUUUAAAUAUUUUAUAUUACAUAUAUUAUAUUAUUUUUAAUUUUAUAAUACUAAUUAUCUGAUAUUCUAUCAAUCAUCUAAUAUACUUGGCAGUAUAUAAAAUAUUAGUAUACACCACACACAAGUAAAGAUUUCUCCUCUCUUUUUUAAAUUAUUAAAUAUAGUUUCUCAAAGAGCAACGUCCUUAAGGCAACAACAAAGGAGAGCAUCCCACAUAUCUAAUAUGAAUUUUGAAUGCAUUCAUUGCACCGUAAACCGACUAUAAAAUAUAUAACAAAGAUAAAUUUAUGGCUGGGGCUACUAUACUCUUAUGAGUAUAUACCCACUUGUACUCAUAAAUUUUUAACUAUUGAUUGAUGGAAUGUGUGGUUAGGAUGAUGAUGAUCCCCACUUAGAAUGAUAGUGGUCCCCUACGGUUGAGUGGGUAGUUGGUUGAAUAGUAUUAUUUAACGGAUGGAAAAGAUCAACGGAAUAAAUCUAAGGGUCGAAAAUUUGUGAGUAUAAGAGAGUCAAUACUCAUAAAAGUACAGUAGCCGGACUCUAAAUUUAUAUAGUACAAUAAAUUAUUAAAUAUUUUAUGUUACAUAUAAUGUAUUAUUUUUUAUUUUAUAAUACUAAUUAUCAGAUAUUCUAUUAAUCAUCUAAUAUAUUUUGCGGUGUAUAAAAUAUUAGUCCAUGAGGUGUAAGGAAAGAUUUCUCCUCUUUGUCUUGUUCUUGGAAUUAUGAGUGCACUCUAUUAAACAUUCUCUACACUGGAUAUACAUAAUCUAUGCACCAUCUAUUUCUAUUCCUAUUCAUUAAUCCCCAUAAGAAAUGCCACGUGGCAGUGUUUCGUUCACUGUUUGCUUUCACCUUAUGAACGUAUGUCUCUUCGGCUUUCCGUUUCAUUAAUUCCUUCCCUAUAACGUCGACCUCUUCGGCUUAUCGUCUUAUUAAUUUCUGUUUUAUUAAUUUUUUUUCCAUAUCGUAUGUCUCUUCGGCUUUCCAUCUCAUAAUUCCUUUUUUGUAACGUCGGAAGGUAAUCAAAAAAGAAAGAAGAUGAGUUCCGUAAACUUAGAAACCCACACAAAAAAUCCAAACCCUUUAUCUUCCCUUUACAUAUAACAUUUAAUUAAUGCAUCCACCUAUCCUAAUCCUAAUAUAAUCUUAAACGAUACAAAUUCAUACAAAAGCCUCAUUCUCUCCUAUGCAUGUCAUAAAAAUAAAAAUCUAUUCAUUUUUUAUAAUAAAUUAUGACCUCUUUCAUUUGCCAAAAGAUGUGGCAUCAAUUUACUUUUUUCUAUUUUUUUUGUUAACUUUUAAUUUUGGUGUCUUCUUCUAUUCUCAUUUAGUACGAGGUGUGGAAUUUUUUUUUUUUUCAGCUCCUAACUUUAGUAUCUUCUCAUCUUCUCAACGUCCACCGCUUCACCUCUUUCCAGCCCACAAGUCUUUUCUUCUUCUCUACCAUCCACUUUUUCUAACUCCCAUAACCCUAUCUCCUCUUUUUUUUUGUAGAGUUCUUUAGAUACUUCAGGUCAUAGUGGUGGUGGAGGUGGUGAAUGAGAAAGUACUAGAGACCAAAGCGGUGGCGGCGACUGUGAAAGAAAGCAUGGGCAAUGGCAGUGAAGAUCAAGGUGGCGGCAAAAAUAAUAGUAAGUCUCACCCUCUUAGAGAUCAAUACCAAAUAAUAAUUUCUCUAUCCUUUUUUUUUCUCUCUUUUUUUUUUAUUUGUUAUCUAUUUUUAACCUAUUUUACAAUAUUUUUGGAAUUAUUUGAUAGUUUUUGUUUAAGGUGAGUUGGAUUGGAUUAAAAAUAUAAUAUUUCAAUAAUACCUGUCUGCCGCAUCGCGCAGGUAACUACACUAGUUAUACAUUAUUCCCCCCAAAAAAAGCCAUGUGGCGGAGUUUCCUUCCUUUAGCGAAACCAACUUUUCGGCUUCUUUUCACCUAUAACAUCUAAUUAAUAGUCCACUAAGCUUAACCUAACCCUUCGCCUUUCCUAUACACAUAACGUCGUCUUCCCGCCACCUAUAAUAUCUAAUUCUUCCCUGCACCUAUAACAUCUAAUUAAUAGCCCACUCACCUUAAUCCAACCCUUCGCCUUUCCUACAAACAUAACUUUUAAUUAAUUGUCCACUCACCUUAAUCCAACCCUUCACAUUUCCUACAAACAUAACGUCUAAUUAAUGGUUCACCUACUUUAAUCCUAAUCUAAACAGUAAAUCGUAGAAACCUACGAAAAGCCCAAUUCUCUUCUUCUCUAUUUUCUUUUCCUCCUCCAUGAGCUCCGAGGCUAAGAUCAAGCACGUUAUGUAGAUGGAGUAUAAGUUUGCACGCUGCAUCGUCGAGCUUAGUGUUACCAUCUUCAUCAAAUCGAGCUUUCCUUCAAAUUUCAGGAGUUAUUUUAAAAGAUUAAUGUAUUCUUUAUGUUGUAUCGUUAAAAUUUCUUAAAUAAUUUUAUUCAGUUUUUUUAAAUUUUUUUAUUUGUAUGGUAUUCAAACUAAUGUGUUUGUUAUACUAAAGAUUUAUUAUUUUUUCCUUUUUCUAUCCUUUGUUUUUUAUAUUUUUUUUCUCGAAAGUAAAGUUCUGUAUUAUAUUUACUGUAUUUGGUUGUGUUAGGUUGUAUAUCUUUUUGUCUCUUAAAAAUUUAUUAUA